UACGUAGGGACCAAGCGUUGUUCGGAUUUACUGGGCGUAAAGGGCGCGUAGGCGGCGCGGUAAGUCACUUGUGAAAUCUCUGAGCUUAACUCAGAACGGCCAAGUGAUACUGCAGUGCUAGAGUGUGGAAGGGGCAAUCGGAAUUCUUGGUGUAGCGGUGAAAUGCGUAGAUAUCAAGAGGAACACCUGAGGUGAAGACGGGUUGCUGGGCCAACACUGACGCUGAGGCGCGAAAGCCAGGGGAGCAAACAGG
rnacentral:rRNA from 1 species